GAAGAAGAAGAAGUGAAACACCACAGAAGAAGAAGAAGACGCUGCAGUUGCCAUAACGAAGCUGUCAGCUAACCUGCCGAGCCGCCCGGUGACAUGUCCAGAUACAGCCGCUACGGAGGAGAGAGUAAGGUGUACGUGGGGAACCUGGGCACGGGAGCAGGGAAGGGCGAGCUGGAGCGAGCGUUCGGAUACUACGGGCCGCUCCGGACCGUCUGGAUCGCCAGGAACCCGCCGGGCUUCGCCUUCGUGGAGUUCGAGGACCCCAGGGACGCUGAGGACGCCGUCCGAGGUCUAGACGGCAAGGUGAUCUGCGGCUGUCGGGUUCGGGUCGAGCUGUCCACCGGGAUGCCACGGCGCUCCCGGUACGACCGCCCCCCCACCCGCCGACCUUUUGACCCCAACGACAAAUGCUACGAGUGCGGCGAGAAGGGCCACUACGCCUACGACUGCCACCGCUACAGCCGCCGCCGGAGGAGCAGGUUUCAUCGUUUGAUUCAGAGUGUCACGAUCCUAAAAGAUUUCAUGAGGCAUCUUGCAAAUUCCACACUUUUGUCUCCUCGUAAGACCACGAGGCUGAUCAGCAGAGCGCCUGCCACUCCUAGCUGCACCUUUAAAGAUUUCUUAGAGGGCUGGCAGCAGCCCCGCAGCCAGACCAGCGCCAAGCCCAGUAAAUUUGGCCAUCAAUUUGGGCCGUGACCCGCUGGACCACGGUCCCUUCUAGAAAAAACGCCUCGCAUCUAUCAAGUCUCAAUCAAGCGAUUUGGCUGUCAGUACGAUCAUCGUUAGAAAUCGAGGACACGACUAGAUGCAGAGGUCGGCCGAUAGAUACUUCUAGAUCGUCUAGAUCUGCUAGACCUUGGUCCAAAGAGGGUCGACCUGCAAACUUGCAAGGUUUAUUUCAUUACCAAUUAAUGUGUUUUUAUCUGCAAUGUACUUUUCUGUUCUUUUUCUCUGUACUAGACAUCUGAAAGGCCUGUUUUUAGGCAGGAAGUUUUUAACUCCAUCAGCACCUAGUCUGACUUCUGCUACCACUGCAUGUGUAAUGUUAAAGUAGCUACCUGCUCUGUCUGUAUUAGUGUAGAGCCAAAGUCAGAGUUUCAGAGGCAGACUCUCUCUGUUUGUUGUGUUGGCUCGCUCUGCUCGGCCUUGAUCUCCUUCUCCCGGUUUGGUUUGGGUCCAGGUCCCGCUCUCACUCCAGGUCCCGUGGGAGGCGGUACUCCCGCAGCCGGAGCCGGAGCCGAGGGAGGAGGUCCAGAUCUUUCUCUCCUCGUCGCUCCCACUCAUAUUCUCCCAGAAGAUCUCGGUCCAACUCCCCCAGGAGGUCCAG